rnacentral:rRNA from 1 species
CGCAAGCAAGUAAGACCCCUUAAAGACGAUAAGGUAGAUAGGUCAGGAGUGUAAGCAUGGUGACAUGUUAAGCGGACUGAUACUAAUAGGUCGAGGGCUUGACCGAAA